ACCUACGUAUUAUUUAACUGUUCCAUAUGCCUGAAUGUGUGAAACAACCAACUGGAGAUCUCAUCAACCCUACACUGUGUGUCAAGAGUUGGCUGACUUUACAGUGUGACCCUGGAGUACUACCUCUUUCCUUCAGAGUACAGCUUUUUGGUGCAACUAGAGUCUGCUGCAGCUGUUGGUUAACCAGCAAAUCUGACUGCCAUAUUAAUGACACAGGAUGUGGAAUUGGUAUAGCCAAUGGUUGUCUUUGUUUGAGGACCAGACUGUGGUAAACGCCACUUGAAGAAAACAAGGAUUCAUUUGGAAGAGAAGUAAUCGCUGAAGUACCACAACAUGGCAUUAAUGACUUCUAUAACCUGUACAUGGUGGUGAAGGGGGUAACACUUUGUGAGUGAUAUAGAGCAAAAGACCAAAGGAACAGAAUGGCAAAGGAAUGUACUGGUUUCCAAGCAUACCAAGGGUGAUCAAGCGACAGACACUACAGAUGUACCAUCACAUGCUGUAUUACACAGUUAUCAGAAGAUGCAGACGUUUUGAUCUACUAGGAGCUCCUACUGAAAGUACAACUCAAAGACUUACGGGCCACAGGCAAAAUGGGUGAGAUAUGUCUUGAUAUGCAAGAAGUUUAGGACUCAGGAACACACCAGUGACUCCUAUAAACAAGAAAAAAGAAAAAGAAAAAAAAGAUAUCCUCAUUUGCAACUGAAUCUCUGAAUCUGAAACGUGAUCCUCAAAAUGCAACAUGUUUCUCCCCUUGGAGAAACGUCGAUCCCCGUAGUUAUAGAGAUUCUCCAGUGGAGUGUAAUACAGACAUUAUGGUCCAUGCAAUGUCUUGACCACUUAGCAAACUUCUUAGCGAACUCCUUUUACUGACACUGAGAGAAAGUGUCAUCCAAAAAAUUUAAUAUCCAUUUGGAUGUGUACAAAAUAUCUGUGUUCUAAAGGGUGGCAACUAAACAUUAAUGUGGCUAUUUGUUUCAUUUCCCAUUUCAUGAUACAUAAAAAUAUUUUGGUCUUGGACUAGGACAUUAGCAUGUCACAGGUGGAGUCAAUCAGGCCAUACAGAUAUUUAGAAGCAACAAUGCUUUAGAUAUGACAAUAAUGCAAUUGUAGAUAAAUGAAAUGACAUCUUUCGACUCAUUCUAUGCAUAUUGGGAUCUGCAAUCUGUCUCCAUAAGUUUUGUUUAGAUACUUGAGAACUCAUAGUGGUAUUCACCUCAAGAGUACAGAACCUAUGACAGAACAAACUAACAGGGAAUGCGAAGGACACAAGAAAAGCGACAUAAAAUAUCUCUAGUGUGUUUACCUCAGUGCAGAAUGUAGAAAAAUAUCGAUAAACUUCAAGUCGCAGUUAAAGAAAAGUGAUACAAAAGCUCUCUAUAUGACCCACUAACAAAAUAGCAGAAACAGUAUUCAGAAUAUAAUCUGUUCAUUUUAUACAUUGCCUACAUCAAUAAGCUUAUAGAAUCCUGGAAGACAGAAUUAGAUAAGUAACUGUAUGUUCAGACUUAAAUUACAAAUAAUUCGUCCCAUAUUCCAUUUAUGACUGUAUGUAACAUAUGAAGACAUUGAGCAU